rnacentral:rRNA from 1 species
AUUGAACGCUGGCGGCAGGCCUAACACAUGCACGUCGAACGAGUGGCGGACGGGUUAGUAAUGUCUGGGCAACUGACCGAUGGAGGGGGAUAACUACUGGAAACGGUAGCUAAUACCGCGUAUACUAGGAUGUGCCCAGAGGGGAUUAGCUUGUAGGUGAGGUAAAGGCUUACCUAGGAGACGAUCCCUAGCUGGUCUGCGAGGAUGAACAGCCACACUGGAACUGAGACACGGUCCAGACUCCUACUGGAGGAAGCAGUGGGGAAUAUUGCACAAUGGGCGCAAGCCUGAUGCAGCCAUGCCGCGUGUAUGAAGAAGGCCUUCGGGUUGGAAAGUACUUUCAGCGGGGAGGCGUUACCCGCAGAAGAAGCACCGGCUAACACCGUGCCAGCAGCCGCGGUAAUUC